UUGUUUCUGACUCAGCUCUCUUUCCCACCAGUAUCCAAUUUCUCACUACGCUCUCCUGCUGUACCUGUCUCCACCCUGCUCUGCAUUCCCACAUGUCCCGUCCCACCCUGUCCCUGCCACGUCCACAUCAUGGCUGGAUGACUGCCCAGCUGCAGAGCUGGCCUCUCUGACUGUCCUUGGAUAUGGAGCUAGGGAAGAGACCAGGAAGGUGACAAGGGGCUGGGAAUCACAGGAGGCCUACAAGAGCUGGCUUGUGAGGAUGAUCUGUGCUGGGAAGGCCCAAAAGUCAGCGGUGGAAGCUAGUAAGCCUAUGCCAGCAGGGUGAAGGAGCUGUGCUAGUAGGCUGAGGAUUCUAUGCUGGAGCCAAGAAGUCACACUCGUAAUAACCAGGGCUGUCCUGACAAGUACCACAGCCAUCCUCAGCGACACGGAGGUCCUGUGCUCCUCCAAUGAUAAGAAAAGUCGAAGACAUGCCAAAAAGCCAGCAUGAGGAGUUCCUCCUAGCGAUGAAGCAGCAUACAUCUUCCCCUCCGGAGCCAGGAAGCAAUGCUUGAUGUAAGACCAGAGAUUCUCCAGGAGAACCAACGGCUCAAACAGCAACACUUAGAGAAACCCACAAUGCCUCUCUUUUCCUUCUCCACGUCUCUAUUUAUGCUGGUAACUUUCCUCAGGUGGAACAUCUACACUCAGCACCAUGCUGAUUUAAUUCAGAUGGUGUUGUUAACCAUCAGUUUUUAACCUAACAACCACUGUCUUUUGUGGGAACAUGCCUCAGGCUGAUGCUAGAUCUACAUCAUCCUAUUAAAACCUGCUUGACUUCACCCCUGGAGAAUUGAAGAUAGCAUUCUCUGAUUGGUCCCAAGUGCAGGGCUUGGGCACAUAUGUCCCACCCACUUGCCCAGUCGCUGGCCACAUCUCCUGCCUCAGCAUGAUCAUAGUCUGGAGUUGUUGUAAUGUCUGCUUAGGAAAGGAAAAGGCUGUUUAACAUCUGGCUCCCAAGUGAGAGACACUGGAGCCUGGGCUUUAGGUGUUUUUAUAGUGAUUAAGCUAUAUGAAAAAGAAAGAUGGAAUAAACAAUUAUGUUGAUGUAGCUCUAGCAUCUUUCCACGAAAAUAAAUGGAGCAAACAUUGAUACUAUCCAGUAAGUAGCCUCUCUAUACAGGGUCAAGAUUGCGAAGAUAUAUUAACAGUAUUGCAUUCAAAGCUUGACUAUGGGGAAUGUGAAAAUAAUGUAGUAUUACCAGAUAAAAUGCAAGCAUGCAUAAAGAUAAACCUUAUAAAUAAGAGGUGUCUAAAGAGAAGAAAA